rnacentral:rRNA from 1 species
CGAUGUUGAGGGGGGACGCAGAAAGGUAAGCCGGCCAAUAGAAAGUCAUUGGUCCAAGGUCGUAGUGAGGUUCUCCAGGCAAAUCCGGAGGGCCGUUAAUCCCGAGAGCCGAGCGCGAGUCCGUCGCAAGACGGGCGAAGUGGCCCAACUCCGCUGCCAAGAAAAGCCCCGCAAAUACUGCAAGGCGUGUCCGUACCGCAAACCGACACAGGUAGGCAAGGAGAAUAUCCUCAGGCGCGCGAGCGAACUCUCGCUUAGGAACUAGGCAAGCUGGCCCCGUAACUCCGGAAGAAGGGGUGCCCGUUGACUUAACUCCGUACAGGGGAAGGGUCUGACGGGCCGCAGUGAAUGGGGAGCCGCGACUGUUUAACAAAAACACAGGACUCUGCUGAAAUCGCAAGAUGACGUAUAGGGUCUGAUGCCUGCCCGGUACUGGAAGGUCAUGGUAAGAUGUCAGCCGCAAGGCGAAGCUUCGAACUUAAGCCCCAGUAAACGGCGGCCGUAACUAUAACGGUCCUAAGGUAGCGAAAUUCCUUGUCGGGUAAGUUCCGACCUGCACGAAUGGCAUAACGAAGGCUCCGCUGUCUUGGCGAGAGGCUCGGCGAAAUUGUGGUAUCCGUGAAGACGCGGCUUACCUGCGGUUAGACGAAAAGACCCCGUGGAGCUUUACUGUAACUUGUUAUUGCGUUUUGGGAUUGGAUACGUAGGAUAGGUGGGAGCCUUUGAAGCGCUGGUUUUGGCCGGCGUGGAGGCGUCCUUGAAAUACCACCUUUUCGGUUCUGAGACGCUAACCCUGUGCCGUUUAUCCGGCCGGGGAACAGUAGCAGGCGGGCAGUUUAACUGGGGCGGUUGCCUCCUAAAGAGUAACGGAGGCGUUCCAAGGUUCUCUCAGGGCGUAUAGAAAUCGCCUGUCGAGUGCAAGAGCAGAAGAGAGCUUAACUGCUAGGCCUACAAGCCAAGCAGAUCGGAAACUAGGAUCUAGUGAUCCGGUGGUUGAUUGUGGGAUUGCCAUCGCUCAACGGAUAAAAGCUACCCCGGGGAUAACAGGCUUAUCGGAUCCAAGAGCCCAUAUCGACGAUCCGGUUUGGCACCUCGAUGUCGGCUCAUCGCAUCCUCCCGCUGGAGUCGGUGGGAAGGGUUUGGCUGUUCGCCAAUUAAAGCGGUACGUGAGCUGGGUUCAGUACGUCGUGAGACAGUACGGUCUCUAUCUACCGUAGGCGCAGGACAUUUGAGGGUGAGUCGUCUCUAGUACGAGAGGACCGAGAUGAACGCGCCUCUGGCGUACCGGUUGGCCCGCCCGGGCCAUGGCCGGAUAACUAUUGCGCGGAACGGAUAAACGCUGAAAGCAUCUAAGCGUGAAGCCAGCCCCAAUAUGAGAUGUCCCGUCCCCUUGUGGGACCUAAAGACCAGGAGAAGACUACUCCGU